rnacentral:misc_RNA from 1 species
AACGCACGAGACCUGCGGACCUGCGGAGGGAUCAUUAAUGAGAAACUGCUCCUCGCGGGUAGAUCUCCCACCCUUUGUAAACUUACCUUUGUUGCUUUGGCAGGCCCGUCUCCGGACCGCCGGCUUCGGCUGGCCAGUGCCUGCCAGAGGAUUCUAAAACUCUGUCUGUCAGUGUUGUCUGAGUCUAUAUACAAUCGUUAAAACUUUUAGCAAUGGAUCUCUAGAUCGGAAGAGCACACG